ensembl:lncRNA LAMTOR5-AS1 LAMTOR5 and SLC16A4 antisense RNA 1
AGCAUGGAGAGCAGAGCGCAAAGAUUUCUUCCGGACUCCCACAUUCCCCUUGGAAUCCAAGAACUGGUCUACUGUCACAACACUUUAGUACCCUCUUCUCCCAAGGAGGCAGCAGAAACUGGGGUAAUCACAACGGUCAACAGCAGCAAAGGCAGCACUUUCUGAUUUACUUGACUGCUAUGGAUGCCACCUCUCUCCACGCCUCAGUUUAAUAUCUACUUUGGUAUUCUGGUGACUGACUCCACCCAGAUCCCAUGACUCAUGACUCAGCUGGUCCUGUGGUUCUUACCCAGUCUGACACAGCACCAGAGGACCGUUUUCCACACUUCUAUCUAUGAUUUCAUCCCCAACCAAUCAGCACCACCCAUUCCCUAGCCCCCUGCCCACCAAAUUGAUAUCCAUAAAAACCCUAACCUCUGAGUUCUCAGAGAAACUGAUUGGAGUAAUAAACUCCUGUCUUCUGUGUGGCUAGCCUUAUGUUAAUUAAACUCUUUCUUAGGGCA